GAUGAACGCUAGCGGCAGGCUUAAUACAUGCAAGUCGAGGGGCAGCAUGGUGUAGCAAUACACUGAUGGCGACCGGCAAACGGGUGCGGAACACGUACAGAACCUUCCUUCGAGCGGGGAAUAGCCCAGAGAAAUUUGGAUUAAUACCCCAUAGUAUAUUGAAAAGGCAUCUUUUUAAUAUUAAAGAUUUAUCACUUGAAGAUGGCUGUGCGGCUGAUUAGGUAGUUGGCGGGGUAACGGCCCACCAAGCCUGCGAUCAGUAACUGGUGUGAGAGCACGACCAGUCACACGGGCACUGAGACACGGGCCCGACUCCUACGGGAGGCAGCAGUAAGGAAUAUUGGUCAAUGGACGAAAGUCUGAACCAGCCAUGCCGCGUGGAGGAUGAAGGUCCUCUGGAUUGUAAACUUCUUUUAUAUGGGACGAAAAAAGGCUUUUCUAAGUCGUCUGACGGUACCAUAUGAAUAAGCACCGGCUAACUCCGUGCCAGCCGCCGCCGUAACAC
rnacentral:rRNA from 1 species